UACGGAGGGAGCUAGCGUUAUUCGGAAUUACUGGGCGUAAAGCGCACGUAGGCGGCUUUGUAAGUUAGAGGUGAAAGCCUGGAGCUCAACUCCAGAAUUGCCUUUUAAGACUGCAUCGCUUGAAUCCAGGAGAGGUGAGUGGAAUUCCGAGUGUAGAGGUGAAAUUCGUAGAUAUUCGGAAGAACACCAGUGGCGAAGGCGGCUCACUGGAGCUGGUAUUGACGCUGAGGUGGCGAAAGCGUGGGGAGCAAACAGG
rnacentral:rRNA from 1 species